UAGAUGCGAGAGUAGAGCAUAUCAAUAAGCGGAGGAAAAGAAACUAACAAGGAUUCCCCUAGUAACGGCGAGUGAAGCGGGAAGAGCUCAAAUUUGAAAUCUUCAAGGGUUUCCCUUGACGAAUUGUAGUUUAAAGAAGUGUUUUCUGUUAGAGAGGUGGUAAAAGUUCUUUGGAAUAGGACAUCAUAGAGGGUGAGAAUCCCGUAUUUGAUCACUUUCUACUAACGUUGUGAUACACUUUCAAAGAGUCGGAUUGUUUGGGAAUGCAGUCCAAAAUGGGUGGUAAAUUUCAUCUAAAGCUAAAUAUUGGCGAGAGACCGAUAGCGAACAAGUACCGUGAGGGAAAGAUGAAAAGAACUUUGAAAAGAGAGUUAAACAGUACGUGAAAUUGUCAAAAGGGAAGCGUUUGACACCAGUGUUGUUUUUCCGAAAAUCAAUUACGAAUGUUUUGUUUUUGAGGAGUUAUGACUUCAUCGGCUUGCUCCUUUCUUUAUGAAACUUUCUUAAUGCACUUUUCGGUUAACAAGUCAACAUCAAUUUCUUUUGUUGUAAAAGAGUAUGAGGAAGGUGGCUUUCUUUUCGGAGAAAGUGUUUAUAGCCUUGUACUUCUGCAAUCGGAGAGAUUGAGGUCUGCAGCGUAGAUCCUUCGGGGUUAGAUACAGUUUGUGCUAAGUUAUAGCUUUUCAUAGACAACUUGUUGACUUAUGAUUAAGUCAUUGUAGCUUACUCGCUUAUGCUAUUUUACCUACGCUUAGGAUGUUGACGAGACUGUCGAUCUC
rnacentral:rRNA from 1 species